rnacentral:rRNA from 1 species
UACGGAGGAUGCAAGCGUUAUCCGGAUUUAUUGGGUUUAAAGGGUGCGCAGGCGGAUUUGUAAGUCAGUGGUGAAAGCCUACAGCUCAACUGUAGAAUUGCCAUUGAUACUGCUAAUCUUGAGUAUAGUUGUGGUAGGCGGAAUGUAGCAUGUAGCGGUGAAAUGCUUAGAGAUGCUACAGAACUCCGAUUGCGAAGGCAGCUUACCAAGCUAUUACUGACGCUCAGGCACGAAAGCGUGGGUAGCAAACAGGAUUAGAUACCCUGGUAGUCCACGCUGUAAACGAUGGACACUCGCUGUUGGCGAUACACAGUCAGCGGCUGAGCGAAAGUAUUAAGUGUCCCACCUGGGGAGUACGAUCGCAAGGUUGAA